AUAAUAUGGCUAUGAUAUGCAUUGUCAAAUGUUGAUAAGGACCUGGAAAACUAGAUGUAAUCAAUAAAAAAGAAACCUAACUGAAACACAAUUUGGCACAAAAUACUGUAACUAAGUUUGUCAUAGAAAAUAUGGAGUCUUGUUCCCUUGCAUCCCUUUUGAGGGUAGAGAUCCGGAGCACAACAUAAACAAGAACUUUAUCCUAAACAGCAUGACAAAAUAAAUAAAUAAAGGAAGAGAUGAUAAUUUUUUGUCAACUAAAACAAAAUGCUCCCAAAUUUUCACAAACUUUAGGUGACUAACAUAUAGAUUAAGAUAGCGUAUUUCGUGAUCUAAUGGGAUUUUAUGUUUUUGUUCUGUAAAAGGAAGCCGUCAUCACAUAAAUCUUACCUUCGACCAACAGGGGGUCUGUCCAUCAAGUGAUCUGUAGGUGGCUCCGUAGCUAAUGCUAGUGCUCCAAGAGUAUCCAUGAUAAGAUUCACCCACAGAAGCUGCAUCAAGCACAAGAAAAAGAGGCAUCAACAGGUGUACACAUGGAGGACGAGAGAUAUAUGCAUAUACACAGAGAUAGAGAGAGAGAUAAAGAGAGUAGAGAGAGAGAGAACCUGAACAGCAUUUAGCGGUACAUCACCAGAUGAAAUGGCUGCGACGACAUUUAUAAUUAGUGCUGCUACAUUUACUGUAAGCUGGAAUUGGAUGAAUUUCUGAAUAUUUGCAUAUACAGAUCGACCCCAUCUAACAACCUACAACCAUUAGAUGAACAAAAACACUGCUAAAUAUUGCAAAUUUGGUUUCUGAAUUGGCACUUGAAAUAAUAAUGAAAAAACAGACCAAAAAUAGAUAUUAGAUACACAUACGGCCUUUCUCCAAUCCGGACUUUAACAGUACAUUCAACAACUCAGACGUGACAUGUAAACACAGUUAAUGGCAUAUGGUUAAUCUGGUCAGUUUAUCACCAUGCUGACACUCCCUAAACAACUGCCCUUUUUCUUUUUGUUUAAUCAAAACUUUGUAUGCACUUCUUUCCCACAUUUUGCUUCCCCCUACUCUAUCCUCUCAACAUAUUUUCUUUUAAAUCCACACUCUAGGAAUUAACUCUCAGCCAUCUCCAAAACUAUUGACAUCUCUCAGCCUGACCACCAAUUUCAAAAUGCAAAACAAACCCUCCCCAUGGGUAAAUGGUUCCCAAAGCAAAGAUUGGAAGAUUAGAGGAAUGAUUUCUUGGAUGGUUCUCUGAAUGGUCAAACCAAUUUCACGACGACUUUCCAUUUCUACCUCAGCAGAAAACCAAAGAUUUUGUAAUAUCAUCUACAAACCACUAUAAAAUUGUGUUGCUACGAUGGGUCUAAUCAGAUAUAAUCUCAAUCUUUUUGAAUUCCCAUCUUUUCCAGGCAUUAAUUUGUUUCAGUGAUGCUGUGCUAUUGAGGAUAAAAAGGUCACUGAUGUUCUCAGUUGUUUGCCAUUUUCGUCUAGCAGUUUUAUUGAAGCAAUAUUCUUGACAAUGCAUUCGAUGCUAUUUUUCUGUAAUUGUAUGACUAAACGAAAAGCAAACUUCGAAGUAUAAAAGCCUAAUGUGGAAAAGUAAGUUGUACAUUUGGGACACCAUAUAUGCACACUGAGUGAUAUCCUAUUCACUGAAGGGUGAGGGAGAUGUGAGAAAAAUUAAAAGUGAGAACUGAGAGAGAACAAAGUAAUAAAUUAAUUAAAAGUAUGUAUCAUUUGUUGGAUGGAAUUGCUGAAUGAAGCACCUGAACUUUUGUUACAGUCCAGAUAGAAGAAUGAGCUUGUGUGUAUGUUACUGAUUAAUUAAAGCACUAGACAACAUGUCUAUUAAAGAAAGGAGUUAUGAACAGAAAGGUAGAACAGAGUGCGACAACACAAUACACAAUGAUAUUACUAAGAAAAAUUGCAAAAUGUUCACAGUUACUAACCUUCACAACUGAAGCAAAAUUAUCGUCCAAGAUAAUGAUAUCUGAACUCUCUUUGGCAACUUCAGUCCCUUGAAUACCCAUUGCAAGACCGAUGUCAGCCUGAACUCGAAUGUUGAAUCGAAUGUUGAUUAUUUCCAAAGAAAAAAAAAAAAAAACGAUCAAAACAUAAACUCAUUUAACACUAAAGCUAAAAGGGACAAUAAAUGGCCCGCUACACUACAAAACCCACUGUUCUAAAAAUCCCCGCAUAGCACCGCCUAGGCUGUAGGCGGCUGGCCACCAUUCAAUUAAUGCCUAGGCGUUUGAAAAUUAAGAAACAGUGCCUAGACUUGCAGAGGCACCUGCCUAGCCCUUGCUUAAGCGCCCGCCUAGAUUGCAACUCACUUAGACAGAAAAUAGAUAACUUUCAUUUUGCAUUUUAUUUUUUUCAAUAAAUUGUAAGACUUGUUACAUACUUAUAUAUACACGCAUUGUAUCUUUGUUCCCCAUGUUUUCAUUAUGUUCCAAUACUUCUUAAUAUGUAUGUCAUUCUAUUUUUUAGUUUAUGAUGAAAGUAUAUAUAUUUUUAUGUAUAAGCAGACACUUAUCACAUGAAAUAUAAUAAAUUUACUUAAAUCCGCUUGUCCACCUAGGUGCCCGCCUAGGCCCUGCCUACCGCUCGACUAGCGCCUAGCGUUUUUUAGAACCUUGACAAAACCAGUGCAGGGAUUCAAACACAUUAACUGCUACAAUAAAAUAAAAUAAAAAGACAAAAAGACUGAAGUUAAAACAUUUGAGAGACCUCGUGCAGUGCAGGAGCAUCAUUAGUGCCAUCUCCAGUUACAGCAACAACAUGACCCCUUCUCCUCAAUGCUUGCACAAGCAGAAGCUUGUCAUUGGGGGAAGACCGCCCCAUCACCUGCACAUUACACAAAAAAGAAUCUAUUUUCCACAAAGCUGGUGUUCAUACUUCAAUCAUCAAAACAUGUCACCAGAAACAAUAUGAAAGUAAAUACGAUUAGAUAUUCAAUUACUCAGAUCAUACCGAAAUCUUUUCAGCACAAUCUUCUCUCUGCUUAUCUGAAAGUUCACGGAAAGCUGUUCCUUCAAUGAGAGUUGGCUGGUUAGCAUCUGAAUCUGGAGCAAGUAUGCCACAUUCCAUAGCAAUCGCUUUCGCAGUUUGAAGAUUGUCACCUGUGACCAUGCGUACCUACAAAAAUUAUCAGAUUGGAAGAACUUAAGCUACAACAUCCACAUGUUCACUUUCUAAGAACAAUAAUUAAAAGGAUACCCAGAAAAUAAUUUAUGAAAACAAAAUUUUAAACAGUAGUAAAUUUCUAUAUAAACUAAAUUGAUUCUUCUGAUUUACAGUUACUGUACAACUAAAAUACAGAUAGACAUAUAUCUAAACCUAACUAAAAAUAAUCACAAUAGGACAUAUAUAUUGCCACAUAAUGACCUUACCACCAGUGCAAAAACAACUGCAUUUAGACCAAGUGUAUAAAACUCAAAAUAAAAAUAAAAAUUUUAAGAGCAAGGAAAUGAGGGGGAGCAAGUGGAGGCUGGAAAAAAAUCUACAAAAACAAUACAAUAAAUUCAGGGUGGUACUACCCACACCCCUUUUUUACCUUCCAGACGCCCCUCUCAAUUCCAGCCAUCAGAUCAAAUGAAUUGAGGAGGAUCAAAGGACAUAAAUUACCAGGGGGUGUUUGGAAGGUAAAAAGGGGUGUGUGGAUUGCACCACCCUGAAUUAAUAUGCAUAGGACACCCCUAUGACAAACAAAGAGAGAAGUUGAUCUACCAUUGUUGCAGAAUAAACAAGAAAUUGAUACAAGUUGACAGCCAAACUUAUUAGCAUAGAAUCUUUGGGCUUUCUACAAGUUGGGGACUGAACCCUUUCUGUUCUCUCCGGCCUAAUACUCUUGAUCCAAAAAUAAUGAAGAACAAAAAUUCAGAAAUCCACGCACAUUGAUGUUACUAAAUAAUACCUUAACACCAGCUUUUUGGCAUAGUCGCACUGCAUCUCCCACCCCAGGCCGACAAGGAUCCUGCAAUUUUUUUAAUUCUCUAAAUAAGCUAAACAAACUACAAGUGAAUGCAAAUAUGGAAGGUGCCGCAAAAGAAGCAACAUAUCAGCUUAGAACAGAGGAUGUUAAAUGUUACAUGCUCCUCAUUGAAGUUAGUAAUGCAAUGUCUGAAUUUAUGAACGCACUACCUUUAUACCAACAAUAGCAAGCAAGACAAGGUCAUCAUCAGGCAAUGCCCACUCAGAUAGUUGUUCAUCAGCUGGAACAUUUUCCAAUUCAUGUGGUCUAUAAGCAAUGGCAACACAACGCAAACUGCGAGCAGCCAUAUCCUCAAUUGACUUCCUGAACAUGGUUGACUGCAGAAAAAGGUAUAUUUCAUUCGAAUGAAGCAUUAGUUGUAACCUUCCAAAGUUCAAAGAAAACAUAAAGGGAACACAAAAUAGUAAUAAAAUGAGUUUAGGAACAAGAUUCAUAUAAAUGAUAAUUCUGGAUAAUUGUACAACUUCAAAUUUGUUCUUUAAGCUUAUAAAAAAGGUUAUUAUGUCUUGCAAGAUCAUAAAAACUUACAGGGGCGUUAAAAUCAUCUCAACCUGGAAAGAAGUGACUAAAAUAAUAGGAAGAAAAAAUAGAGACUGUAUUAUACGAGUGUUUCACUAAAGGUGAAACUGCAGAAGUUAACUAUCAUUUUAUCAUGUAAAAGCCAAAAUUUUCUCCUACCUUGUCUUCAUCCAUAGCUACUAACUGGUCAUUAGGAUCCAGGUACUUUGUACAACAGGCCAAGACUAUUUCAGCAGCCCCUUUCCAUUGAAUAUGAACUUCGGUAUUGGGCUGUACAGAUAGAUAAAAGACAAUUAACCAUUACUUGCAGUAUCCCUUGAAUGCAAAAGAGGUUAUCCACAAUGAGAAUACUAAUAUUCUUCCCUGUGUACUGUAACUGAGAUAUGAAGACAUUUUACAAAAGAGAACAUAUAAUAUUAAAUCAUCCAGAUUCCUGAAAUACUUUUUGUAUCCAGGAAGGUAACAAAUAGACACAAUAAUGAAUGUAUAACUACUAAACAAAAGUAAAGUGCCGCAUAAUAUAUCCCAUAUAACCAAGAAAGCUUAGUGUGGCAAGGUAAGAUUCUUAAGUUGCCUACCAAUUUAACUGCAGCACCGCCUCGUUUUUUUCUCUGAGUUGAAUGGGAACACGUGAAGAAUUGAAGACUUGGACCUGAUGGCAUCAAAAUUCAUUCCGAGCUGCAAAGAAGUUAUCAACAAUUAGUGGCGAGUUUAAGGGAUGUAGUCACCCGUGAGAAGUGGCAAGAUACAUGAAUUGGAAAACCAACUAGAGAACCUUGAUUCCCAAUUGCAGAAUUGCCUUUUCAGUUGGUGAUCCAGAAACCUCUAUAUCACCGCCAGUCUACAAAAGGGAAGAAACAGUCUGAGCCUCAGCCUUUACCACUCAAUAUUCUGCUAAAAUAAUGUACCAAGAAAGCAACACAAAUACAUUAAGCAUACCUCAGGCGUAUAGACACUGCCAUUUGUAUUCAACGCAAUGCCUUCAAUAAGCAAAAGAUGAUAGUAUUGGAGACACGUCUGACUUACUGCCAGAGAGAUCGAUUUUCCUCCCACCAGUAAAAGCCUCAACAACAGUCAUCUAUACUCAAAGGAAUGUAAAAUAGAAUAUCACUCAUUAGCAAUCUUAAACUAGAGAACAAAAAAAAGUGUGUGAGAGCGAGAGAGAGACAGAGAGAGUGACGGAGCAAGAGAGACACAAACCACCAGUGUCUUCCCCUGUCCUAUGCACAAUUACUAAAAAACUGUCCACAACAUUUGUUCUGCUCACAUCCACCACCAUUUUUAAUCUCACAACAGCCACACCAAAUUGACUAGAUUUUCUUUUAGUGAGACAUCACUUUAGCUUAUUAGAACCAUCAAAAUAACAUCAUCAAAACUAGCCUGGUCAAUAAGACCUCAACACCUCUGUCGUCAUACAUUGAACAACAGAAGAAACUAUGCGUUUAGAACUCCAUCGUGGGGUAAGUUAUACCCACCUGGUUCAAUGUUAAGGUUCCAGUCUUGUCGCUGCAUAUGGUAGUUGCAGAGCCCAUGGUUUCACAUGCAGACAGCCUCCGCACCUACAUUUAGAGCUCCAUCAUACGCUUAAACCCCAACAAAAGUAUAUAAAAUUAAAGUUCUACAAAGCCAUAAAACUGAAAAACAAUUAAGACAUACCAAGGCCUUAUCUGCCAUCAUUUUUCUCAUCGAGUAGGCAAGCCUGUGUCAUAGCCAAAGAAUGAAAGGGGGGAAAGUAUGAAACGAGGAAUGUAGAAAGAUGCUUGUGUGCAAUAGAAACGUAUGUUUUUAAAAGAGAAGAUAAAACAUAAGAGCGUUCAAUUUUUAUUUUACGUUUGGCUUGGAGGGAUGGGGAUGGCAAUUCUAACUGUUAAACCCGAUAACCGUGGAUAACCACCCGAAUGGAUUGGAUUUGGAUAUGAAAAUUCGGGUAUGGUAUGGAUAUGGGGAAAAACCGUGACUUUAUUCGGUUAUGGUUUUGGAUAUGGUUAUAGGGGUUCCCAAUCCAUAUCUGUCCCCGAAUCCGACCCCAAUAUUAUAUAUAUAUAUAUAUAUAUUUGAUAUACAAUAUAAUUUUAUUCAAUUUACCAAACCCUCCCUAUACUAAUUCAUUAUGCAUGCAUCAAACCCUAUACUAUCUUUAUUAUGCACCAACCAUCAUGCAUGAAGCAUACCAACAACCUCAUCAAUUCAAUACUCUUAUUGUUAUACUCAACCAAAUUAAUUCAUUGAAUCAUUUUAUAUAUCAAUUAUCAAAUGUUCCAAGUUUAUCAAAUUCAUCUCUCUUCAAGAGUCUCAACUAGCUUCUUGUUCUAAUGCACACGUCGGUUGCUGCACUUAUUUUGAAGAUAUGGAUAUGGAUAAGGUAAGUAUUAGCAAUUACAUUAUAUGUAUAUAACUAUCUUCUUUGUAGAUUAUGUGUACAACGAUUCAUAUUAAUUAUUUCGUCAUCAUGCUCCAUUGAUGGGUGUGAAGGAGGAGCACCAUGAAAUAUGAUGCUAGCUUGGUGGAACUAGAAGCUAAGUGCAAAUAUUUCGUUCAUUUGUCGUCACAAGUUUUGGAAUUAUUAGACAAUUUGUUUUGUCUUCCUUUCGUAUUUGCUUUUGUCCUAUUUUUCUUUUUUAUUGGACCAAUUUAUCAUGUUGGCUUAUCAUGAACAACUUCAAAUAUAUUGGUAUGUUUUUUGUAAUUGGAUGUCGUUAUUUAAUGACGGAAUUAGUAUCUACUAAAAUUUAUAGUGUCAAUUUGAUGAAUAUAAUUUUUUUUUAUUUUUUUGACGAAGAUGGAUAUAACCGAUAACCGAUUGAAAAACCGUUACCCAGUGGAUAUGGUUAUGGAUAAUCCCGAUGGUUAAUUUGCAGUUAUGGAUAUGGUUAACUUUUGUGGCUAUGGUGAUGGAUAUAUCAUUUUUGUCCCCAAACCAAACCGUUGCCAUCCCUAAUGCCCAGGGACACAACACAUGAUAUAAAAGACUUACGUCAAGGUAACAGCUAAUGGGAGCCCUUCAGGAACAGCAACCACCACAAUGGUGACCUAAAACAGUUUUCAGAUUAGUCAAAUUCACACAAACGCUCGCAUGAAGCAGAGUGAAUAUCCAAGGAGUUAAUUGACACACCGCAAUAGUAACAAUUUUAAUGGCUCCAUCUAUGGCAUCUCCAAAUUUUGUCUUUCCCGCUUUAAACUGAGGGCUUCCAUUUGCAUUUUUUGUAUGGCCAGUAAAGUAUCUGCACACGUAACAGUACUUAUCAUAAAUCAAGUGUCACUGUCAUAGAGAAGGGGUCACUGGUGAAGAUCGAAAUAUACCUAACCAACAGGACUAUCAAGACAAGUAAAGCCACUGUGAGUCCAACAAUACCAAUGAAAGUUGCAACCCCGUUUAAGCGCACCUGUUCAGAGAUGUAAUAUGUUUGAGUACAGGAUUUCAUGCAUCGAAUGACUAUAUUCAAGUUAAUAGUUCAUUGCUGACCUGCAAAGGAGUUUCCUCACCAGUAUCUUCUGAAAUACUAGCCAUGAGCAUUCCCCAUUCAGUAUUAGUCCCAACACUGGUUACCUGAAGAAAAAAUGAUAAUAAUAUUAAAAAAUUGAAAGUUACAUUUCAAAAUUACAUGGGCAGCAAAUAAAAACAAGCCUACGGAAAACAAAGUUUCAGUAAUCAGAAAGAAUUUCAGAUAUGUCAUUGACUGACUCUAGAAAAAAACUCUUAUAUAUCUAUGUGUCAUGGGAAAAGGAAAAGAGAGAUUGGAAUCUUUACCAGCAUGCUACCAUUUCCAUCUGCUACUUUGCAGCCUGACAUUAGAAAUGGAUUUUUGGAGUCCUUGCGUACCUGAAAAAAGGAAAAUAUAUACAUCAUAUGUUUUACAGAAAAUAAAUGGUCAAUGUUCAAACAAGGAUGGGAACAUGUAUUGAGGCUCACAAUCUUGCUCUCUCCAGUCAUACUAGACUCAUCUAUGGCAAGUGAGUGUCCAGUUAUUAAAAUGCCAUCAGCAGGGACCUACAUAUAGAAUCACAAUAUCAAUAAAAUUUUCAAUUGGAAUGUAAUUGUGAAAUAUAUAUGAAACAUUUUCUGAAAAAUGUGCAUACCUGAUCGCCGAUGUUAAGGGGUGCAACAUCACCAACAACAAGAUCAUAAAUUGAGACCUCAACACGUCUACCACCUCUAAUGACCUGCACAAUACCUCCAAAGCUAAUAUCGGCGCAUGAGAAGAAAUAAAAUUCCCAUAAAUCUGACAGAGAUGAGAACCAGAAGCGCACCUCCAAAUGUAUAUUUCUCUUUUCCUCAUUUAGAUUCUGGAACUUAAGAGAUUGUCUGUAAUCACUAACCGCUGCAGGUAAAAAAUAUAGGAAAACUUGUGAGUGUGUACCACUUCAGAUUAAUAGAAACUCGCAUGUAUUUAGAAUUCAAGUAAUAAACUUGUAAACGCUCAUGAUUGACAUAUGCUUAAACACCCCAAAAAAGAGCAAAGAUGAUUAAACAUCAUCCAAUUUGUAAAUCACAUAUAUGGUGAUGAGUGACAUAAAUAGUACCCCCUCCAAUAAUGAUACACACACAGACAAACACAAACACACACAUAUACGUGUCAUUAAAUGAUUAAAUGAGGACCCUUGGAUGUUAUGGUAAUCUAAUGGCUCAAAAGGAAUGUAAUCCUAUUCCACACCACCCCCCCUCAAAAAAAACACAGAGAGAGAAUCGGGGAAUUGAUGUAUUCUGGCCACCAUGAACAGUCUUCACUCAAUUUAGUUUUUGGGUAAUAAUUACAAAACUUGCAGAGCGUAUUCACAGAAUUUUAUUUGAAUAUGGAGAGGGAAAGAAAGAAAACUGUUAAAACUCUAUAAUAUAUAUAUAUAUAUAUAUAUAUACAUGUUUAAUAUUUGAAGCAAGUUGACUAGUACAUGCAACCAAUGUAUUAAAAGCGUGAGGUGUGGGCGAGGCGUCAAAGAGAUAGCCCGGCCUAGGCGUGAGGCGAAGCCUCCAAGGAUUUAAAUUUUUUAAUAUAUACACUGAGCGUACACAUAUUAUAUUAAAAAACAUUAUUAAUCAAUAAUCAUCCUGAGCACACACAUAUAUUAUAAAUAUAUACACACAUAUAUAUAUACAUAUAUUAUAUUAUAUAUAUAUAAUAGAGGAUGAAAAGCACAAUGAGGACACAUAUAACAAUGCACGCAGACAGCAUACACAUCCAUUAUAUACAAAAAUAAAAAAAAAUAAAAAAAUAAAGGCAGAGAGACGAUAGUGCAAGGAAGAGGUAUGAGGCAAUUAAAACCCUACCCAAAAUUUGGGUUUGGGAGUAAAAAAAUAAAAAUAAAAAAUAAAAAACAUUGAGGCGCGCCAAGGCUGCUCCGGCGACGCCUUCCGCCCACUCCCUCAAAACAGAGGCAGCAACCCUCGUGCCCAGCCCCAGAGGAAGCCUAGGCGCACCCCGAGGCGAGCCUUUUAAAACAUUGCAUGCAACACAACAGCCCCUACAAGCAAAUUAACUAAAAUGUUGGAAACAAAAAUGACACUAAAAUAUAUACAUUUUAGCCAUCAGUGAAUACACUUGCUCGAUCAAUACCUGUGACAACAAUGACAAGGAGAAGUGCAAAAGCAAUGCUGCCUCCAUCAUACCAUCCCUCCUCUAUACCCUGUAAGCAACAAAGAACGCAUAAGAUGAACACCGUAAAGAAAUUUAGGGUUUAAGAUGAAUAAAUAAAAGGGAACUUUAACGAAAAGCACCUGGUACUGUUCAUUUUAACGAAAAACCACAUUUUUACACUAAAAAGUCAAUCCUGGUACUAUUCACUUUACCCUUUAUUUUGUCCUUAUCAUUAAAACUCAAAGUUUUCAAGCCCUUUUCAUUAGUUUUCCUUAUGGGAUUCACAAGGAUUUGUGAUAUCACUUUUCUCCAAAUAUGAUUAUGAAUUCAUCAACACUCCCACAAAAAGUGACAGAUUUGCAACCAUAUAAGCACUAUAUCUGUGACAAUCAAUGUUUUAAAAGGCGAGGGCAAGGCCAAGGUAUUUCUUGGAUAGCCUCACCUGGCGAUAAUCUCAAGGCGUGAGGCGAAAGUCUCACAGUACCUAAAAUUAUUAUAAUACUUCAUAUAUAUACAUAAAAUAUAAUACUUUGUAAAAGAAAUAUCCAUUGUAAUUUAAACAACUAAGCCAAAAACAAGCAUAUAAAUCAAAUAAUAGUCAAGAUCAUCACAAACAACUACAACAAAGCCUUAUCCCACUAAGUGAGGUUGGCUGUAUGAAUCCUAGAACGCCAUUGCGCUAGGUUCUGUGCCACAUCUUCCGUUAGACCCAAGUACUCCAAUUCUUUUCUUAAAGUCUCUUUCCAAGUCUUCCUAGGGCUUCCUCUACCCUUUCGACCAUGAACCUCUAUCUCUUAAUCGCAUCUUCAAACCAGAGCGUCUGUAGGCCUUCGUUUCACAUGUCCAAACCACUUUAACCGAUUUUCUCAUCUUUCCUUCAAUUUCGGCUACUCCUAUUUUACCUCGGAUAUCCUCAUUCCUAAUCCUAUCCUUUCUCAUGUGCCCUCACAUCCAAUGAAGCAUUCUCAUCCCCGCUACACUCAUUUUGUGUACCUGUUGAUGCUUCACCGUCCAACAUUCCAUGCCAUAAAGCAUUGCUGGCCUUAUUGCCGUCCUAUAAAAAUUUUCCUUGAGCUUUAGUGGCAUACGACGGUCGCAGAACACACCCGAUGCACUCUUCCGCUUCAUCCAUCCAGCUUGUAUUCUAUGGUUGAGGUCUCCAUCCAACUCUCGAUUCUUUUGCAACAUAGAUAUUAGGUAGCGAAAACGAUCGCUCUUUGGUACUUCCUGAUCACCAAUCCUCACCCCUAACUCAUUUGAACCUUCGUUCGCACUGAACUUGCACUCCAUAUACUAUGUCGUUGACCGACUUAGGCGAAGAUCUUUAGAUUCCAACACUUUUCUCCAAAGGUUGAGCUUCGCAUUUACUCUUUCCUGAGUUUCAUCUAUCAACACUAUAUCAUUUACGAAAAGCAUACACCAAGAAAUAUCAUCUUGAAUAUGUUAUGUUAACUCAUCCAUUACCAAUGCAAAAAGGUAAGGACUUAAAGAUGAGCCUUGAUGUAACCCUAUAGUUAUGGGAAAGCUUCCGGUUUGUACUUCAUAAGUUCUUACGGCAGUCCUUACUCCAUAAUACAUUUCCUUUAUAGCUUGAAUAUAUACUACUCGUACUCCUUUCUUCUCUAAAAUCCUCCAAAGAAUGUCUCUUGUACCCUAUCAUACGCAUUUUCCAAAUCUACAAAGACCAUGUGCAAAUCCUUUUUAAUAUCUCUAUAUCUUUCCAUCGAUCUUCAUAAGAGAUAGAUUGCCUCCAUGGUUGAGCGUCUUGGCAUGAACCCAAAUUCAUUGUCCGAGACCUGUCUCUCAUGCCUCGGUCUAUGCUUAAUUACUCUCUCAGAGCUUCAUGGUAUGCCUUAUUAACUUAAUACAUGCAAUUUUGUACGUCGCCCUUAUUCUUGAAGAUAGGCACCAAAGUGCUCUUUCGGCACUCAUUUGGCAUCUUCUUCGUUUUCAAAAUCUUAUUGAAAUGGUUUGUGAGCCAUGAUAUACCCGUCUUUCCCAAGACUUUCCACACUUCGAUCAGUAUAUCAUAUGGGCCCACUGUUUUUCUAUGCUUCAUCUUUUUCAAAACUACAACCACUUCUUCCUUCCCAAUACAGCGGUAGAAGGAGUAGUUUCUACACUCUUCUGAGUUACUCAAUUCCCCCAAAGAAGUACUUCUUUCAUAUCCUUCAUUAAACAAGAACCUUUCCAUUCUCAUCCUUGAUGCACCUCACUUGUUUCGGGUCUCUUGUCUUCUUUUCCCUUACUCUAGCUAGUUUAUAGAUAUACAACUCUCCUUCUUUGGUAUCCAGUCACUUAUAUUGUCAAAAGCCGCUAGCUUUGCUUCUCUCACAGCUUUCUUCGCUUCCUUCACUAUUCUAUAACUUUCACAGUUUUCGUCGGUUCUAUCCUUGUAUUAGCCUUUACAACAUUCCUUCUUAACAUUCACUUUUGUCUGUACCUCUUCCUUCCACCACCAAGAUUCCUUUUGGUGUGGAGCAAAACCCUUGGACUCUCCUAAUACCUCUUUUGCUACUUUUCGGGUGCAACUAGCCGUGGAAUCCCACACAUGGCUGCGAGACAUUUGCAGGCUGUCGCUGACCUGCUGCUCUUGCUCUGUGUUCUUUUACGCAAACGCAAAGUGAGAGAGACACUAUUUCAGUUGUAAAAAACCCUGCCCAAAACGACAUCAUUUUGGGUUUAGCUUUUGUAAAAAACAAAGGUUAGAAAUAAAAAAUCGAACGCCCACAUCUCGCCUCCCCGACGCCAAGACGGAAUAUAGCCCACUCCCGCUGGGCAGAGGCAUUUUCUUGAUAGCACCGCCCAAAAAACUGCCUAGGCUGGUCUCAAACUAGUUUUUUAAAACAUUGAUUAAUGAUAGAGGUCAUUUCUCUAAAUUUGGAACACCAUGGCCUUCGCAAUAUAUGCAAUCAACUAGGGUGCAGUAUUUCUCAGAGAAGAACCUGUGUGUCGAAGAUUAGACAGAUUUUUAUGCUCUACAGGUUGCGAAGAUAUCUUUCCUGAGGCUAGACAAACGGCCUUGGCAAGGGUCAUUUCCGAUCAUUGUCCAAUCCAGCUAGACACCAACAAAGUGAAAUGGGGGCCAUGUCCUUUCAGAUUUGAAAACAUGUGGCUCCAAGAUCCAGAAUUCAGGAACAAAUUCAAGGAAUGGUGGCAAUCGGAGCAAGUGGAGGGGUGGGAGGGUUAUAAAUUUAUGAUCAAGUUAAAAGCCAUGAAAAAAAAGGUGCAAAGCUGGAGUAAGGAGAGUUUCGGCGAAAUCGAAAAAGUCUUGAAAGAAGCGGAAGCAAACAUAGAGGAGUUGGAUAAGAGAGAGGGGACGGAAGGCUUAGAUUUUGAAGCUAGAAGUAAAAGGGAAGAACUCCAAAACCUGGUGGGAGACUUGGCUUUUAAAGAAGAAGUGAAAUGGAGGCAGAGAAGCAAAGUGGAAUGGGCAAAGGAAGGGGGACGGUAAUACAAGAUUCUUCCAUCGAGUUGCUAAUGGAAGAAGGAAGAGAAACUAUAUUGAAAGGUUGGAGCCGAUUGGAGGGGAUUAAUAGAGGAUGCAAAGGAGAUUGAAGAGCAUAUUGUAAAUUUUUUCAAAUCCUUAUUUAGCAGUAACGACGAGGCAUGUUGUGGUUUAGAAGGUAUAAAUUGGGCCCCAAUAAGCGCCCUUGAGGCAAUUUGGCUUGAGAGGCCUUUUGAGGAAGCAGAAGUUCAAAGAGCAGUUUUCGAUUGUGGAAAGGACAAGUCACCAGGACCAGAUGGCUCUCUCUAUGCAAAUGUUCCAACAUUGCUGGGAUAUUUUGAAGGAAGAGAUAUAAUGAAGAUCAUGGAGGAAUUCUUUGAGAAAGGGAUAAUAAAUGCAGUGACGAACGAAACAUUCAUUUGCCUAAUCCCAAAGAAGUCAGAUUCUUUGAAGGUGACGGACUAUAGGCCCAUCAGCUUAGUAACUGGAUUGUAUAAAAUCAUAGCGAAAACACUGGCUUCAAGAUUGAAGGAGGUUUUGGUUACCACUGUCUCCCCACAUCAGGGGGCGUUUGUUAAGGAUCGACAAAUUUUGGAUGCAGUCCUCAUUGCAAAUGAAGUGGUAGAAGAGAUAAGGCAGAAAAAAAAGAAGGGAUUGGUGCUCAAGAUUGACUUUGAAAAAGCGUAUGAUCAUGUUGAAUGGAGAUUUCUGGAAGAAGUACUACAAAGAAAAGGUUUUGGCAAUAGAUGGAGGAAAUGGAUUCAAGGAUCUUUAUGCUCUGCAAAUUUUUCUGUUUUGAUCAAUGGGAGGCCUAGGGGAAAAUUUCAAGCUUCAAGAGGACUAAGACAAGGUGACCCACUAUCACCCUUUCUCUUCACCUUAGUAGUCGAUGUUUUGAGCAGGUUAAUGGAGAAGGCUCAAGAAAAUGAUCUCAUCAAAGGUUUGUGUAUCGGGCAAGAAAAGGUGGAGAUCUCUCAUCUUCAAUUUGCAGACGAUACCAUAUUCUUUUUGACGGAAGAUGAGGAAGUUUGGAACAACCUAUUACAAGUGCUCAACUUAUUCUGUUCGGUCUCAGGACUGAAAAUCAACAAAGCGAAGUGCUUUUUGGCAGGAAUAAAUUCAGAAAGUGAGAAAUUAAACAGGAUGGCAGAUUCUUGGGGUUGCGAGGUAGGAUGUUGGCCUAUAAAGUAUCUGGGACUUCACCUUGGGGGAAGGCCAAAAGCUAUAAGGUUUUGGGAUCCAGUGGUAGAAACAAUGGAAAGAAGACUUCAAAGUUGGAAGAAGGCUUUCCUAUCCAGAGGAGGUAGAUUGACUCUAAUUCAAUCAGUCUUGGGAAGUUUGCCGAUUUACUAUAUGUCAUUGUUCAAAAUUCCCUGUGGGGUAAGAAGACAUCUAGAAAAAUUAAUGAAAGGGUUUCUCUGGGAAGGCGUGGAGGAAGGUAAGAAAACCCAUUUGGUCAAAUGGGAGUUAGUUACUAAAAACAAGGAGGAAGGAGGUCUAGGGGUGGGGAAUUUGAGGAAUCAGAACGAAGCACUAUUGGCUAAGUGGUUGUGGAGAUUCCCAAGGGAGUCUCAUUCCUUAUGGCACAAGGUGAUAAGAAGCAAGUAUGGGCUACAAGUUAAUGGAUGGAAUGUACUUCCUCCAAGGAGGGUUUCAAGUCGUAGCCCAUGGAAAGACAUUUCGAGUGGUGCUCAUCAGUUUCUUAGUUGUUGCAAGUUUGAGGUGGGCAAUGGAGAGAGGGUUAGGUUUUGGGAGGAUGGGUGGUUAGUAGGGGGACCGCUGAAGGAGCAAUUCCCCAGAUUAUUCUUAUUAUCGAGGAAGCAUAAUCAUAACAUAUCUAGCUUUGUGGAAGCUUCGUCAAGUUCCUUGAGUUGGAACUUUGAUUUUAGGAGAAAUCUGAAUGAGAUGAAGAUAGAAGAGGCGGCCAGCUUAUUACAGAAAGUGGAAGUGGUUCGCUUGUCUCCAUCAAAAAUGGAUAACAGAAGGUGGAACCUAGAAACUUCAGGUUUGUUCACAUGCAAAUCCUAUCGGUCAUUACUGAACAACAAUGGGAUUGUGCACUAUUAUCCACCCUACUCUCAGAUUUGGAAAUCAAAAGUUCCUCCGAAGGUUAAAAUACUUGUAUGGCUUGUGGCCAAUGGGAGUCUCAACACUUGCGACAAAAUUCAAAGGAGAAACCCUAUGAUGUGUUUAUCCCCACAUUGGUGUAGUUUAUGUAAAGCUAAGGAGGAGAGUGUAAAUCACAUCUUUCUUCAUUGCUCCUACUCGAUACAACUGUGGUGGAAACUGUUUCAGGAGGUUAAAGUAAGUUGGGUCAUUCCUAAAGGGUGUUUUGAGCUACUAAGCACCAAUUUCAAGGCACUUGGAAAAGGGAAAAAAUCCAAAGCUUUGUGGGGUUGCCUGGUAUCGGCAAUUUUCUGGAAUAUAUGGCUGGAACGCAACAAAAGGAUUUUUGAAGACUAUACUGGAGUGGGGGCAGAAGUACUUUGGGGGAGAGUUAAAUAUUGGGCAUCUUUUUGGGCUUCGGUUACUAAAGAGUUUAAUAAUUGCUCUCUAUCUCAAAUACUGUGGGAUUUGUUAGCAGCAGUUAAGUGAGCUUGGUCUAGAAUUGGCUACUGUAGCCAAUUCCUAUUAGGAUUUUCCUUUCUAAUUUGUUGGUGGACUUCUUAUCCACUUCUGUGUUUUUCUCUAUUCUUUAAUAAAAUUGUUUCUUCUCAAAAAAAAAAAAAAAAAAAAAAAAAAAAAAAAAAAAAGACAAAUCAAGGGUGUAGUCUUUAAGAAAAGACAAAUCAUGCUACAACAAUAACUCAAGACUUCAAAACAAACAGGACAUUAUCAGAACACAUCCUACUGUGAUGAAGGACGCGGCUAUUAAGCAGCCAAUGCCAGCUCACCUCUGUUUUUAUACCCAGCGCUAAAGAAGCCAUUGCAGCUACCAUCAAUAUGAUCAGAGUAAGAUCUUGACAAGCUACCCAAAGAAAUCUCUAUCAGACAGAAAAAGAAAAAAGAAAUUUAUUAUAACAGAAAAAAAUUUCCUCCUUUUUUCCUUAUUAUAUCCAAUGCAGAAACUUCAAAAGUUCACAACUGUAGCAAAUUUACCCAGAAACUUCUUGCUUUUUUCCGAGGAUAUGUGUUCGACCCAAAUGCAUUUUUCCGUUUUAGUAAAUCAAUAUCAUCUCCAUGAAUUCCCUUGUCGAGAUUUGUUUUCAACAAGUCCCCUAAGCCUGUGACCUGAUGUAAGAAAACAACAGAACAAAUAUAAGCAACAGUGUUUAUGUACCAACUUCAGAUCAUGAAAGGGGUUAUGUGGUGGACUUGCCCCCCCAUAUUGUUGAAGAGCAGCAAAUUUAUGAUCCCUCGUCACUGAAACUAGUUCCUCUUGUCCAAUGGGAAAAUCGCCAGUAGGACUUGGUUUCGGUACUACAAUCCCUGACAAUAAGAAGCAACAAGUUGACUAUAGAACUAUCGCAAAGAACAGUUUACACAACAGGAUUUAUGCAUCAUGAUGGUGGAGCGAAUGAGAGAAAUGUCUAAAACACAAUCCUUAAAAAAUGAAACAAGAAAGCAACCUUACAAAUCCAACAACAAUUUAAAUGACAGUGAACCGGAAAUGAACAGAGCAUGACAAACAAAUUGCCAUAGCGUCUUGGGAAAGAAAAAUGAAUGUUUACAAUAGGAACAUAUGCACAAUAUAGGAAAUCAAACAUCUGCUUGUUACCAGGUAUUCUACAAGAAGAGUGAGGCAAGACUACACACACUUGCCCAGAACUGAACAAUGGCAUGCUCGAGAACUACAGCAAUUUAUUCAGUGAGAUAAUUUUUCGAAAUAAAUACUCUUCUACUAGUAUCAUACCACUGUUGGAUCUAAAUAAUUGAAGCAUGUGGCAAUAUCAAAUUAAUGCUGCAUUUUUUUUUCACACAGAUAAUGUUUGCAAAGAAUUAAUGGAAAUUAAAAUAAUAAAAAAAGUACCAUUCACUUGUUGAUCUGCAGCUUCCUUGAAAAGAUAUGCAGCCUAUUUUAAAAAUAAAGAAAAAUCAUAUGUUAGGAUACUAGUGUAUAAAUUCCCUUGAAAGAUGGACGUUUUGUGUUUUAUUAUCAUAUCCAAUAUGGUAAUUUCCUUUGGCAAUUUGUUGCUGUUAACCAAUCCAUUAAAUUAAGAAGAUUGAAACAUGAACAAAUACGUACAUAACUUGCAUCAAUCAUAGGUGGGGAAGUCAAGAGUAACUCAUCACAACUCCCCACGGUUAAAUACAUAAACAAAUAUACAAAGAGAACCUCAAAAAUCAUAAUUUCAUUUGGUAAUACAUCUUAAUCCCGAAGCUAAAAUAUACAAGAACUCUUACCUCUGGACUGUUUCUUCGCCCAGGGAUCAUUCUUGUAAAAUUCUUGAAGAGAGGGGUUUCUGGAACCGGAAUCAGUUUCCCAAGAACAGCAAGAGGCCAACUGCAGAAGAGGAAAGUUGAGUCAGCCAACAAAAGAAAACUAGAGACUCCAGAGGGUUUAACUUAUACUACAAAACACACCAUAAUCAUAGCUUCGUUUGGGACAAAUAAUAAAUAUCAUUGUAACAUCAAUUGAACUUUAACGGUAUCUUCACCAACUCACCUGAUAAAAGCUAUUACAGCUGAAAUCAGCCAAAGAUUCCAAUUAAGUGGUUUUGUUUUAGUGAAUUUCCCAAGGAACUCGACGAUGAUAAUCUGACAAAAAAAAGAGGGAAAAGCGAAGUGUAAACAAAUGCAAACUUUCACCAAAAUCACAUGAGAAAAACAAAAGCACUAAAGUAUCACCUGAAGUACAAGAGUUACUGUCACUAUUCCUAUAAAAAGGUAGUUCUUGGUGAUCCCUUUGAAUAUAUUGAACUCAUCAGGAUUUUGAGCAAUGAAUUCAUUGAAAAUCUGCAAGUUGUACAUUACACUUAAUACAGACGUUGCAAGUUGAACGUUACACUUAUUAAAGACGACUCCUUUUGAUAAAUCAUGUUUAAAAGUAGAAAUGAACAAACUCUAGCAGCUUCAUCCUCAAUGAGCUGGUAAACAACACUAGAAAUCCAAACAAUAUUCCAUUAGAUGUGAACUACCAAGUUACAUAUCAUUUUCAACAGAUCAACUUUAGUAGCAACUUAGUACAAAAAACGUAGACUACUCAAACGUAGAAAACAACAAACGUAGACAACUCAAUAUUAACCAGCUACUUUUCCGGAAAAAAAGAAGAAAAAAAGAAGAAGAAAGAGCUAUGACUUACUUGACAUAGGACAAAUGUAUUGAAUAUCAGAGUAUUUUUCACUGUGUUAGCAUUGGGACCAUGUAGCUUCAGUAUACUUAUUCCUCGGAAGUUGAGGACAAGUAGGACAGUGACUUGGUAGAAAGCCUGAAGUUCAGACAAUAAUAUCAAAAAUACAAACGACAAAAGCAGAGUAUGGCAUGACAAUACAUGUUAUAGAGAACCAAUACUUCAAUUUACAAAAAAAAAAAAAACUCACGAAACGCAUGUACCUGAACCAACAAGUUCCUCCACAUUAUAUUUGUUAUGAGCGGCUCUCUGUAAAACAUUGUACCAUAAGUUCAUUACUAUAACCAUCCGAAAAGCAAAUAGUCUGCUUAAUGACAUGAAAUAUCCAAUACAUAUGGGCCAAGAAAAAGGCAUGAACAUUCAAAACAUUAACACAAUACUUUUGGAUUCUGUGCACAAGACAGUGUAAAAAAGAAUUGGAAAUUUCUCUCGCAAUCCCACGGAUGCCUUACAAUUUCAGAUGUUGAUAAGGACUUGGAAAAUUAGAUGUAAUCGAUAAAAAAGAAACCUAACUGAAACACAUUUUGGCACAAAAUAUUGAUAAAAAAGAAACCUAACUGAAACACGUUGAGUAGAGAUCCGGAGAACAACAUAAACAAGAACUUUAUCCUAAACAGCAUGACAAAAUAAAUAAAGGAAGAGAUGAUAAUUUUUUGUCAACUAAAACAAAAUGCUCCCAAAUUUUCAUAAACUUUAGGUGACUAACAUAUAGAUUAAGAUAGCGU
rnacentral:lncRNA from 1 species